rnacentral:lncRNA from 1 species
GACCAUAAUGAGAUUAUCAUAGUGAGACCUAAAAUCUUGAUCGCCUCAAUCUUAAAUAUUUUAAAUCAUAGGAUCAUUGAGUCAGAGAUCAAGAUAUCGAUAAAACUGAUACAUCCUAUGUAUGCUCGAUAGAGAGGGUGAUUGACCUCACAAUUAUUUGUGUAGGAACAUUAAUAUGAAGAACACUUCCACCACUCCCACUAG